UAGGUUUGUUCUUUUGAGGGAAAAAAAUCACAAAGGUUAAGAAAGGUCAGUAAGGCCCCAUAGCUGAGUCAGGGCAGGGCUGCUCCACAUCUGAGCCUCGCAGAUUUUGUUUACAGUCAACCAUGGGGCCAUCUUACAUCCUGGUCAUUGGGAAGCUGGAGCGAUGUCAGCAUCACUAGGCAAUCAAUUUGUCUUCAGUCUCAGAAUCCUCGGUAAAGCCACCAAAUAAAACAAAUUAUAGCUAUCAAGCUAUACCAAGCCACAUGCACUUGCAGGCAUCCUUAGGAAGUAUCCUGCAUGAAAUGUGCUUAAGGGAUGGGGAGGGGGAGAAUAUUUAGCUGGGGGCUUGUAGAAGGCAAGAGUUUUGUGCUCAGCCAAGAUUCAUCCUGGCCUUAGAAACAGAAAAAUAAAAAAUAAAAAUAAAAUAAAAUAAAAUAAAAAAGCUCCAAACAAACGCAAACUCAUCUACAGGGUUCACCUGCUUUCGUUUGGCAGUGAUGGAAACCAUUCUGCAGAGGAUAAACUGGCCUGAACUUUCCACAGCCAUGGAAGAUUCUAGAACAGUAUGCAUGCUGCCCAUGAGUGUAGAAAUGCAAUUCAGAGCUGUCUGUGGAAUUCUGAAGACAUCAGUCACAGCGGGAAAGGAGUCCAGCCAGCCCCCGAAGUCUGAGGUUUGUAAAGCUCUUAUCCUCAACAGCUCAUCUGAACACGAAGCGGCCAGCCCGCUAGAGCUGGGGUUAGGAUUCAAAGACACCAAGAUGGCGCCUGCUGAUAAACUCACAUGACCUCUCUUAUGUUGUACCUGAAGAAUGAAAGGAAGCUCACAGAGGCUCCACGCAUGUCACAAUUGUCCCAUGGAGCACCCUUGUAAUGAAAAUCAGAUUUAACCGUG